UCGAUGAGUAGGGCGGGACACGUGGUAUCCUGUCUGAAUAUGGGGGGACCAUCCUCCAAGGCUAAAUACUCCUGACUGACCGAUAGUGAACCAGUACCGUGAGGGAAAGGCGAAAAGAACCCCGGCGAGGGGAGUGAAAAAGAACCUGAAACCGUGUACGUACAAGCAGUGGGAGCACCCUUUUGGGUGUGACUGCGUACCUUUUGUAUAAUGGGUCAGCGACUUAUAUUCUGUAGCAAGGUUAACCGAAUAGGGGAGCCGGAGGGAAACCGAGUCUUAAUUGGGCGUUAAGUUGCAGGGUAUAGACCCGAAACCCGGUGAUCUAGCCAUGGGCAGGUUGAAGGUUGGGUAACACUAACUGGAGGACCGAACCGACUAAUGUUGAAAAAUUAGCGGAUGACCUGUGGCUGGGGGUGAAAGGCCAAUCAAACCGGGAGAUAGCUGGUUCUCCCCGAAAGCUAUUUAGGUAGCGCCUCGUGAAUUCAUCUCCGGGGGUAGAGCACUGUUUCGGCUAGGGGGCCAUCCCGGCUUACCAACCCGAUGCAAACUGCGAAUACCGGAGAAUGUUAUCACGGGAGACACACGGCGGGUGCUAACGUCCGUCGUGAAGAGGGAAACAACCCAGACCGCCAGCUAAGGUCCCAAAGUCAUGGUUAAG
rnacentral:rRNA from 1 species